UGCUGCGUUUAAGGCUGUCACAAAAGCUACAGGAACACUGCUGGAAAAUUGCCGCCGAUCAAAUUCUACCCUUUUCCUUGGAAAUCGUAUGAGACUGAAAGAAGACAGAGGUGGAUCGCAGCUGUCCGCCGAGCAAGCUCAGAGGGAGAGCUGUGGCAACUGAAAAGGAAUGAAACGCGAAUAUGCAGUGCUCACUUCGUGGGAAACAAGAGAAGCACCAUCGAUCAGCACCCAGCGUACAUUCCAACAAUAUUUCCACCUUGCUACAAAACAUGUCUCAGUUAAAACAAGUCACAUGUAUUUUAAAUUAGAAGUGUAUGUUAAUAAAAAAUCAAACCUCCUUA